rnacentral:misc_RNA from 1 species
CGAAAACAAAGUCAUGCUUUAUUGAUAACUCAAAUGCAACAGUUCCAACUUCAACAGUACUCUCUUAGAGAGUUACAAACUUACAAAUGCAACAGUUUUGCCAACUGCAGCAUUUCAGGUCCAGGCAUCAAGCGCUGGAGCUACUACUAUAGGACUUCUUACGGUGUGAUGACCGUUUUCUUCAACCCAAGUGAUUGAACCAGAUUGUGCUUGGUCAUCUGCAAUGCCUUUGUAACGUAUGGUAAGAGUGUAGUCCUGCUUCUGAUUUUUCUUCUCAAACACUAAGGUUUGUGGAGAGAUAGAAAUUGUUGAGUUUUUUGGGGCUAUCACUUUUGCUACAUACUUAGCUGCACUGGCUCCGACAUUUGUGACUGUCCGCCUGAAUUUCUUCUCCAACCAAGUGUAGUUCCCAAUUGGGUUAAAGAGAGCAAUAAAUGAUGGGUAAU